rnacentral:rRNA from 1 species
UCCCUUAGUAACGGCGAGCGAACAGGGAAAAGCCCAGCACUGAAUCGCACGUUCUUACGGGCGUAGCGAAAUGUAGUGUUUGGGAGGGUCCGCUAAUCCGCAGUUUGGUGAUGCGUCCAAGUCCUUCUUGAAGGGGGCCAUUAACCCAUAGAGGGUGCCAGGCCCGUAGGACCGUCACCGGCUGUGGAUGGAUCUCUCCUUAGAGUCGGGUUGCUUGAGAGUGCAGCCCUAAGUAGGUGGUAAACUCCAUCUAAGGCUAAAUAUAACCACGAGACCGAUAGCGAACAAGUACCGUGAGGGAAAGUUGAAAAGAACUUUGAAGAGAGAGUUCAAUAGUACGUGAAACCGUUUAGGGGUAAACCUGAGAAACCCGAAAGUUCGACCGGGGAGAUUCAGUGUGUCACGGCUGGCACGAGCUCGUAGCUGUUGACGGUCGGCCAUUUGGCUGUUCUGCAAGUUAUGUUGCCGUUGUUGGUUGAACGCAUGCACUUCUCCUCUAGUAGGACGCCGCGACCCGUUUGGCGUCGGUCUACGGCUUGCAGUGGAGCCCGCGUGUCGGUUUCGGCCGUUCAUGUGGACUUGCGAUGUCCUGGCCGGUGCUCGACGGUGUAACUAUUGGCACAGGGCCGCAAUUUUCGCGUUCGACCUGCUGCAAGCGCGUAUGGUCACCCUUUCCUCGGACAUGUGCCGUGAUUGGAGCCGUACGGCUGUUUGUAGUGGUGUUCUUGAACAGUCUCUGAUUGCCUGUCAGCGGCGCUAUUGCUUUGGGUACUUUCAGGACCCGUCUUGAAACACGGACCAAGGAGUCUAGCAUGUACGCGAGUCAUUGGGACUAUCGAAUCCUAAAGGCGUAAUGAAAGUAAAGCUGAGCUUUGCUCGGUGAGGGAAGAUGGGUGACUUGUCGCCUCGCACUCCCGGGGCGUUUCGUUCUCAUUGCGAGAUGAGGCGUACCUUGAGCGUACACGCUGGGACCCGAAAGAUGGUGAACUAUGCUUGAUCAGGACGAAGUCAGGGGAAACCCUGAUGGAGGUCCGUAGCGAUUCUGACGUGCAAAUCGAUCGUAAGAAUUGAGUAUAGCGGCGAAAGACUAAUCGAACCAUCUAGUAGCUGGUUCCCUCCGAAGUUUCCCUCAGGAUAGCUGGCACUCGGAGUAAGAGUUUCAUCUGGUAAAGCGAAUGAUUAGAGGCAUUGGGGUCGAAACGUCCUCAACCUAUUCUCAAACUUUAAAUGGGUGAGAAAUCCGGCUUGCUUAAAUGUGAAGCCGCGAACAUUACAGAAUCAGAG